rnacentral:rRNA from 1 species
ACUCCUACGGGAGGCAGCAGUGGGGAAUAUUGGACAAUGGGCGCAAGCCUGAUCCAGCCAUGCCGCGUGUGUGAAGAAGGCCCUCGGGUUGUAAAGCACUUUCAGUGAGGAAGAAAGCUUGUCGGUUAAUACCCGGCAAGGACGACAUCACUCACAGAAGAAGCACCGGCUAACUCCGUGCCAGCAGCCGCGGUAAUACGGAGGGUGCGAGCGUUAAUCGGAAUUACUGGGCGUAAAGCGCAUGCAGGUGGUUUGUUAAGUCAGAUGUGAAAGCCCGGGCUCAAGCCUC